rnacentral:rRNA from 1 species
GCUGGCGGCGUGCCUAAUACAUGCAAGUCGAGCGAACAGACAAGGAGCUUGCUCCUUUGACGUUAGCGGCGGACGGGUGAGUAACACGUGGGUAACCUACCUAUAAGACUGGGAUAACUUCGGGAAACCGGAGCUAAUACCGGAUAAUAUUUCGAACCGCAUGGUUCGAUAGUGAAAGAUGGUUUUGCUAUCACUUAUAGAUGGACCCGCGGCGUAUUAGCUAGUUGGUAAGGUAACGGCUUACCAAGGCGACGAUACGUAGCCGACCUGAGAGGGUGAUCGGCCACACUGGAACUGAGACACGGUCCAGACUCCUACGGGAGGCAGCAGUAGGGAAUCUUCCGCAAUGGGCGAAAGCCUGACGGAGCAACGCCGCGUGAGUGAUGAAGGUCUUCGGAUCGUAAAACUCUGUUAUUAGGGAAGAACAUACGUGUAAGUAACUGUGCACGUCUUGACGGUACCUAAUCAGAAAGCCACGGCUAACUACGUGCCAGCAGCCGCGGUAAUACGUAGGUGGCAAGCGUUAUCCGGAAUUAUUGGGCGUAAAGCGCGCGUAGGCGGUUUUUUAAGUCUGAUGUGAAAGCCCACGGCUCAACCGUGGAGGGUCAUUGGAAACUGGAAAACUUGAGUGCAGAAGAGGAAAGUGGAAUUCCAUGUGUAGCGGUGAAAUGCGCAGAGAUAUGGAGGAACACCAGUGGCGAAGGCGACUUUCUGGUCUGUAACUGACGCUGAUGUGCGAAAGCGU